GAAUCAACGCUGGCGGCGUGCCUAACACAUGCAAGUCGCACGAGAAAAGGGGAGCAAGUCCCUGAGUAAAGUGGCGCACGGGUGAGUAACACGUGAAUCAUCUACCGUCCGAGUGGGGAAUAACUGAGAGAAAUCUUAGCUAAUACCGCUAUAACACUUACGAGUCAAAGCAGCAAUGCGCUUGGAGAGGAGUUCGCGGCCGAUUAGUUAGUUGGCGGGGUAAUGGCCCACCGAAGACGAUGAUCGGUAUCCGGCCUGAGAGGGCGCACGGACACACUGGAACUGAAACACGGUCCAGACUCCGUACCGGGAGGCAGCGAGUGGGGAAUUUUGCGCGAA
rnacentral:rRNA from 1 species